rnacentral:rRNA from 1 species
GUUACUCAGUUCAGAUUGCAGGCUGCAACCCGCCUGCAUGAAGUCGGAAUUGCUAGUAAUCGCGGAUCAGCAUGCCGCGGUGAAUACGUUCCCGGGCCUUGUACACACCGCCCGUCACACCAUGGGAGCCGGUAAUACCCGAAGUCAGUAGUCCAACCACGUGAGGACGCUGCCGAAGGUAGGAUUGGCGACUGGGGUGAAGUCGUAACAAGGUAUC